GCUGCUGUGGCUCAGUCGGUAGAGCGUCACAUUGGUAAUGUGGAGGUCACCGGUUCGAUUCCGGUCAGCAGCU
rnacentral:tRNA from 1 species